UAUUGAAAAAAUGAAGCCUAUGUCUGACUUGUGUGCCACUUGUAAAGAGAUAAGUGGACUGAUUAUAAGAAGUGCUAACAUGCAAUCAGAUGAAAGGAUAACUGAGGCAAUGCAAAAGGCACUAGAUCACAGAAGUCUUGU